GAGUAGGGAUAAUGAUUACUAAAGUUGGGUUAUAGUUUCGAUUUAACCGAGAUGGCGUUGUAGGUAAUCGUUCCAAAAAACGCCUUUUGGAUCAAGAAGUUUACGAAGGGAAAGCCAUUUUGAAAGGUUUGGAUAGCGUUCAAGUAACUGCUCUUUAGUUAAACUGUAUUCCUUAGCCCAAUGAGGUUUUCCGUUAUACUGAUUUGCGAUAUCCUCUAAGGCUUUGAAGUAGGGUUUAUAGUUAAUUGAAGUAGAGAAAGGGCGGUACAUGAUUGCUUCGAUAUAACAGGUGGGUACUUUACAAUCAGUAGAAAGCCAACAUUCAUCCUCUGGAGUGGGAGCACAAACGCGAACCUCAAUAGGCCAAUGAGUAUAUGCGCCUAUCUUUCCAGCAUCAUCAACAGUAUAAUUUAUCAGUUUCUCAAGGGCAUCGGGGGCAGAUUCAAGAGGAAUACCCCAUUCACUAACAUGUUGUGAAAAAUAGCAGAACAUUUGCAAAACAUCAAAACCAGGGCCAGCCACCUGCAAAGCCGUGCCAAGCUUAGAACCAUAAUGACAUUUGAACCAAAAACGCUCCAAAUACGGCGUAACUCUAUUUACACAUUUACCCACAAAAAGUAAACAUUGAUAGACAAAGGAAUCUAGCUUCAAGCGAAAGAGUGAUGGCUUAGGUGUGUGAGGAACAGUAUUGGGUUCUACUUUGUUGGCUCUCCAAACAACAGCUCGAUUAGCAUAUGGGAAUACAUGAACACGCACAAAUUCAGCAGAUUCCCAAAUCAGGUUGUUUUUCCAAUCUUGAAAUAAAUCAGUGACAGUAGUAACAUCUUCCGUGGCGACCAAAUCAAAAGCUGGUACAACAGAGAUAGUAAUAUCAACAAUUACACCCAAUGCUCCCAAACUAACUUGAGCAGCAGCAAACAUGUCUUUCUGUAGCUCUCGAGAACAGGUUACAAUAGAUCCAUCGGCGAGCAUAAUACGCAUUGACUUGAUAUAAUGAGGAAGCACUUGAUGUUGCAAGCUAGAACCAUGGGUACAAGUGGACAUGAUUCCGCUUACAGAAGUUUCAGAGAUGCUACCAACGAUGGGAAGAGAAUAUCCCAAAUUCUGAAGGAUUUCUUGUACUUGGUAAAAUCUGAUACCGGCUUGAACGGUAAUACUAAGGGAAUCAGGGUCAAAUGAGACAACCUUAUUCAUUUUAUCUAAUGACAAAAGGUAGCCAGAAGUGCAGACAAUGUCUGAUGGCGAGUGGCCAGCACCGACAACUCGAAUUUUUUUUCCAUUCGAAUUUGCAUCUACUAGAAUCUAAAAAUAAUAAUGUUAGAAGCAAGCGAACUAAUUAAUUUCUAUAGAAAUGUAAAAAAAAGGGGGAAAAGGAUUGAUAGCCAAAGCAGCAUCAUGAACUACUAGAAACUAAGGACAGAUGUAAAGCUAACUUUAAACAAAUUUACAAGUCUUCUUAAACCCAGUUUUCUUACGCUACGUCCAAAAGGGCAAAAGCAUUACCUCUCUUAAUUGUUCUUCUGUUUUGGGGCAUCGUAAACCAAGUGAAAUGGCAGAGAAAGUUUUAGCCCAAUUUGAAAAACGAACUCGCCCAUCUUGGGAUAGCUUAUUAAUAUGAGGAAUUGACAUAGCAGAAAGCAAAAACUAGUAGUAAGGAUUGCAAUCUAAAGGAAUUUCAACAAAAUUAGCUGAGAAUACGCCGAUGCUACAAAAAUCCUUAUAUUAGAACAAAAGAGCAAUUCCAGAUAUCCUUUUAUCUAAAUUUCGCUGUUAGCGAUUAUUUGGCAGUGAACAAGACGCUGGAGGAUUGUUAUAUAGUCAGUUACUAAUAUCACCUCCAAAAAACGUAAUUUGCUAUAAGUAUCGCUAAUUUGAACGAUAAUUUGUAAACAACUAUAGUGAUUGGUAAAACUCCAAUAUGUUAAAUAGUGACAAGGAGAAACCGUUGGUAAGUCCACAGUAAUUGAAUCUAGGAUUGUCACAGGUGAAAGAAAAUUGCUUAGUAUUGAAUUGUCAUGUCUAUGCUAUUAAGGUAAUUAUAUACUUAUGCCAUUUGUUUUUUACUUGAAACGAAUCAUCAAUGUUGCUGUUUAAACAAGGUGUGAAAGAUAUACAAAACACAAUAUACUUACUUUCAAUAGUACUAUAAAUCAGCGUAAGUAGUUUGCAGUGGGACGCUACGAGAAAGAAUUUUGGCAUAAUUUGUUAAACAAAAACAAGCCUAGUGCACAACACAGUUAUUCACUAUAUUGGAUGAUUAUGGAAAAGCGGCGAGGAGUCUUAACGUGUGGGAUUGAAAUGUUUGACGAUUAAUAAUAAAUUUCCAUAAAGUUAACGAUUAAUCUUUAUAUAUCCUUUUGGCUACUCUAAAUAAAUAAAUAGUCAAAGUUGCCAAAUUCCUUGUUUAUUUACAUUAAAGAUUUCCUAUCAAAGAGUACUAAGCGUGUGCGAAGUGAUUAUUCGUAAAACAAGUUAUCAGGAUCGACGCUUGAACGCACUAUAUCGAUGGAAAAAUAUCUUUGUAUAGUUGCAGGAAUUUGUUACCAGAUGUUGACAAGUUAUUUAGAAUUAUUCCUGAAAUUCAAUUAUGAAGGGCUUUAAAUAAUCAGCUUGGGGUCAUUCUCAGUUUCAACUUCUCUCGGUU
rnacentral:lncRNA from 1 species